CGGGGUGAGUAACGCGUGGGCAACCUGCCCUGUACAGGGGGAUAACACUUAGAAAUAGGUGCUAAUACCGCAUGAGCGCACAAAGGCGCAUGCCUAUGUGCGGGAAGCCCGCGAGGGCGGUACGGGAUGGGCCCGCGUCUGAUUAGCCAGUUGGCAGGGUAACGGCCUACCAAAGCGACGAUCAGUAGCCGGCCUGAGAGGGUGGACGGCCACAUUGGGACUGAGACACGGCCCAAACUCCUACGGGAGGCAGCAG
rnacentral:rRNA from 1 species